CACCUUUCAGCAGGGAAUGUCUAGGCUCGCACAUCGAUAAAAAACGCUGCGAACUGCGAUACGUAAGGCGAAUUGCAGGAUUCAGGGAGCCAUCGAAAUUUUGAACGCAUAUGGCAC
rnacentral:rRNA from 1 species